rnacentral:lncRNA from 1 species
CCCGCUGUCACUGCCAGCUGUCACACUGGCCUUAUGCUGCAUUCUUAUUUUAGAUACUGUGACAAUUCUUAAAAUAGCCACCAAAGAGAAAAACGGGAGCCCUCUGCGACCGGCACCGCCGAGGGGAGGGCCGUCGCCGGGCACCCUCAGCACCUCUGCCUGGGGCCCCCGCUGUGCUGCCCUCACUCCCGCACCGGGAGCAGAGUCUUCCGGCAGAAAAUCUACAACCUGUCCGGACCCCCUGAGGCCCCGCGUGCGAGGUGGAGGUGCCCUGGAGGUGGAGGCAGAUGUGGCACCCGGAGUGUGUGUACCCGCCUCCAAACGCAGAGACGGCCGGAAUCUGACAGCUUUGUUGUAGGAAGACAGCUGGGUCAGCGCCGGCGCAGAAACGUCUGGAAUCGCAGAGUCAGGUCAGGCCUGCACGCUCACGUUUAGCAUGAGCACGGCCACCCACAGGCUGGGGCACGGCCCGGACUUCAGCACUUCCACACACGGGAUGGGGCUGAGUCAGCAGAAACCUCCUGCCCUCACCAGGUGCCAGCCGCCCCCUCCAGGACCAAGGGACACUAGAACUCCUGGCCGGCCGCGUGACCACCGUCAGGACCCUGGUCAGGAAAGCAUGUCUACGUGCCAGCAGGCCCUGAGGGCGCGCUUCUGCACCCACCCGCCAGGGGCUUUCCUCCUGACUCAGGAUCAGCGCAGAAACUGGGCAGCAAGCCGAGCCCGGGCCGCACCUCAGGGCAGAGCCAGAAAGGUGGCCGUGCAGACACCGCUUCCCCAGAGCCCCAGGGACCACCAAGGGGCUGGAGUAGUUCCUAUUGCUUGAUGUUUCCUGGUACAGACACCGCUGCAGCAAGCACCCGUGAACAUGCUGAUUAAUCCAGACCUCUCGUGGACCGGCAGCUCUCCUGCAGAAUCUGAGCCUGCGCCAGUCCCCAAGGCGCACAAGACAUCACCCUUACCCCUCUGCUGAUGCUCCACUUGUCCCCGUUCACACGGCACCACAGAAUCUCUAGACACUUGAAGUCUUAAGAUAUGGAGACCUUUGCCUGUCAUGCUCUCCAAUGACUCUCACAGAUUAAAGAAAGAAAAUGAUUUCAUCCAUAUCUCUCCCUAUGGCAGUGUUAUAAAAAGUGGGACUAGGAAAGCAGGGAAAAUUAAAUGAUUUUUUUGUUAGUUGUCCUUUGAAUUAUUAGCAGUGUUAAUAUAGUACAAUAUGCACAUAAUUAGCAAGCCUUCCGAAUUUAUGAUAUGUACUUAUCCUUGUUCUUUUUAAUUACCCAGCACUCUAGUUGGAGGUAAAGCAGGGUGAUUCAACUGACGGCUAAACGUGUCAGAUGGUGACAAAAUGCACUAACCUGCCAGAGUGGAGAGAAGAAAAGCCUAGAAAUGCCAAGGAUGUUUUCAUCCCAUUAAAAGCAUAAAGGUUUCUCAAUGUAUUAUUCAUGUUAUAACCAUGCUACAAACAAAGCAUGAUUUAUUGAGUAUUUUAAUGCAGGC